rnacentral:rRNA from 1 species
GACAGAGGGUGCAAACGUUGUUCGGAAUUACUGGGCGUAAAGCGUGUGUAGGCGGCCAUAUAAGUCGGAUGUGAAAGCCCAGGGCUCAACCCUGGAAGUGCACUCGAUACUGUAUGGCUCGAGUACUGGAGAGGUUGGUGGAAUUCUCGGUGUAGAGGUGAAAUUCGUAGAUAUCGAGAGGAACACCGGUGGCGAAGGCGGCCAACUGGACAGAUACUGACGCUGAGACACGAAAGCGUGGGGAGCAAACAGG